rnacentral:rRNA from 1 species
GGCUCAGGAUGAACGCUGGCGGCGUGCUUAACACAUGCAAGUCGAACGGUGAACACGGAGCUUGCUCCGUGGGAUCAGUGGCGAACGGGUGAGUAACACGUGAGCAACCUACCCCUGACUCUGGGAUAAGCGCUGGAAACGGCGUCUAAUACUGGAUACGAGUGGCGACCGCAUGGUCAGCUACUGGAAAGAUUUAUUGGUUGGGGAUGGGCUCGCGGCCUAUCAGCUUGUUGGUGAGGUAAUGGCUCACCAAGGCGUCGACGGGUAGCCGGCCUGAGAGGGUGACCGGCCACACUGGGACUGAGACACGGCCCAGACUCCUACGGGAGGCAGCAGUGGGGAAUAUUGCACAAUGGGCGCAAGCCUGAUGCAGCAACGCCGCGUGAGGGAUGACGGCCUUCGGGUUGUAAACCUCUUUUAGCAGGGAAGAAGCGAAAGUGACG